AAUGAACGUUGGCGGCGUGGAUUAGGCAUGCAAGUCGAGCGAGAAGUUUGCUUCGGUAAACGGACAGCGGCGAAAGGGACAGUAAUGUGUAGGUACCUACCCCCGGAUCCGGGAUAGCUGCGGGAAACUGCAGGUAAUACCGGAUAACGUCUCCGGACCAAAGGUGUGAUUCCGUCUGGGGAGGGGCCUGCAUCCUAUUAGCUUGUUGGUGGGGUAAUGGCUCACCAAGGCAACGAUGGGUAGCGGGUGUGAGAGCAUGACCCGCGUCAUUGGGACUGAGACACUGCCCAGACACCUACGGGUGGCUGCAGUCGAGAAUCUUCGGCAAUGGGCGAAAGCCUGACCGAGCGACGCCGCGUGCGGGAUGAAGGCCCUCGGGUUGUAAACCGCUGUCGUUGGGGAGGAAGUGCGUGGGGGCUAUCCCUCAUGUUUGACCUAUCCAAGGAGGAAGUACGGGCUAAGUUCG
rnacentral:rRNA from 1 species